rnacentral:lncRNA from 1 species
GUUGAAAUGCUACAUAUGUUUAUUUUCAAAUUUUGGAUCAUUGUUGGUUUGUAUUUUUAUUGCUUGAGGACAAGCAAUGGUUCAAGUGUGGGGGUAUUUGACAAGGGUUUAUUUUACGUAUUUUUAGUGUGUUUUAUUAGUUAAUUUUGGUUUGAUUAUUUAGUUUUAUAACUAAAAUAACUAAGGUUUUGGUAAAAAUCUACAUUUUAUGUUAAAUUGGCUAAAUAUUGCAUUUGAUGGAUUUUUAUGGGAAAAACUUCAUAUUUUGUAGGUUUAAUGAUUCAAUCAUCAAAUGAAGUGCAUUGAGAAGAUAUUUGGAUGAUUGAAGAUGGAUUAAAGUGGGGAAAAUAAAAUAUGAAGUGUAAAAGGAAGAAAUGCAAUUUGAGGACAAAAAUCAAGAAAAGUCAGCUUUGACAACUCAGACAUAUUUUCGUAUUUUGACUAUAUCAGGAGCUACAAUGAUUGGAUCAAGGUGAUCUUGAUACCAUUUUGAAGCUAAGAGAUAUAUCUACAUUUGGUAUGAGACAUCAAAGUCCAAUUCAUCCGUUUUCAUAGUCCAAAAGUUGAAAUACCGAAAUUCAACUCAGCUGUCCAAAGUGGAAAACAGAGUUCCGACCAGUGUUUAGUAUUUUGAUCAUAUCUCAGUCUACAAAGCUCCGAUUUGGAUGAUUCUUGAAGCAUUGGAAAGCUAACUCAAAGAUCUACAACUUUGGUGUUUUUCACAAAAGCCAGUUCGGCCUGCAUCAUGGAGAAAAUCGCAGUUGAAGUAAGGACAAAGUGAAAACGCGAGUGCACAAAACGCGAGUUGUAGACGCGUUUUGUAAAGGCGCGUUUUCUGGCCGAAAUUCUGCAAUUUGCUCAGUCAAUUCUCUUGUGUUCAUACCACUUUCCAGCUAUAAGUUGCAAGAGAAUUCGGUGCACAUGCUUCAGAAGACAAAAGGGCAGACAAGGUGGCUUAUUUUCAAGUCAAAAACAUUUGUUAUUGACUAUCCUAACAAAGUUGAGAUUUGGGAAUCAAAAUGUGGAAUUUGACUUGGAAAAAUGGAGCUCUUAAGCAGUUUAUAUGCAGAGACAUUUUGGGUGGUCUGAGAAGGGGGAAAUAUACGGGAGAAGCUUGAAGAGUGCAGAAAUGUAGUUCUUCCAUUUCCUUAGUGUAGGAUAGUGUAGUAAGUGUAGUUCAUCCAUUCUUGUAUAAUGACUAGAGUAGGAUGAAAAUGGAGAUGAAGAAAGAGAAGUUGAAGCUCAAGUGACAUGGGUUAUCUCUUCUCCAACUCUUUAUCUUUUGUAUUGGAUUCUUAAAUAUAGUUAAUAUGCAAGUUCUGGAAUUUAUGUCUAUUAUGUGUUUCUAAAGUUUAUGCCUUGGGUUUGGUUGAACUUUCUAUGAUUGUUAGUGUUUAUUAUUUGGUUAUUUGAUUACUAUGAUUUGAGCAAGUUAUUUAGCACUUUGACUCUUUAAAUCAUGAUUAAUCUGGUACCAUUAAUUGUGAUUAUCUAAGGUGUUAUUUCUGCAAUGAAAAUUGAGAUUUAACAUUAGUUCAAGAAGUGCUAAACAUAGGGAGUACACUCACGAAAGUAGAGGUGCACCUAUGUGGUUUUUAGUGAUUCAUUUCAUGUAAUUUCACUGAAGAAAUGAACUUGUAGCUAAUUUCAUAACCAUGAGAAUAGGUAUGGAUUAGUUAUAAGUAUAAUUGAUUCACUACGAAAGUAGGAUUCAAAUGCAUAAGGAAAUUACACCAUAAUUAGCCUAGAUGUAGUAAUUAAUGAUCUAAAUAUAACACUUGCAUGAGUAGCUAGGGAUACCACAACCCAAGGAGCUUUCAUUUGUUAUUUUGUAUAAUUUCAGUAGGAUAAAUUUAUUAUGAUUCAUUGAUAGUCUAAAUAAUAGAGAAACUUUAGUAAUACCGGUAAUUGUUCACUCUUCCCUGUGGGAUCGACCCGAUAUAUACCCUAAACUACUAGUUGAUCUGUAUACUUGCAGUGAACGGGUGUAAUUCGGUAUUUUUUAGCUUGCACGUAUGUAAAAUACCCGUCAAGUUUUUGGCGCCGUUGCCGGGGAAGAUUUGGCAAUAUCGGUGUGAAGAGUAACUUUAUUAGUUUAGACAUUUUAUUAGUUAUUGUGUGAAUGUUAUUUUCUGUCAUUUUAGUAUUUUCUGUGUGUAUGCAUUUUAUCACCUAUUCUUCUUACUAAUUUUGCUCUUAAGUUGUUUAAAAGCAAUUUUAGGUGAUGAGGAGGAUAGAUCAAUUUGGAGGACAAAGCUUGAGAAAUGAAAGAUUGGCAAUGGAUGGUUACCUAGUGCAAAGCUCCUUCAACAGAGGUAACCAAGAAAUUACUGAAGGUAUGUUUUUUGAAGAUGGUAUAAGGUGCUUAAAGGCUAAAUUUGAUGUUAUGAUGCUACAAGUUCAAAUGGACACAAUUAUGCAUGAAAUUGAGCAAGGGAGGAAUGUUAAUGCUUUUAAUUCUUAUCAUGUGUUUUGUGACUUGUGUGGAGGUUAUCAUGCAACUAAUACAUGUAUGCAAGUACAAAAUGUGGAUUAUUAUGAUGAAUUAAAGCAUUACAAUCCUUGGUUUGAUCAAUAUAGUGCUAAUUGGAGCAAUUCUCUUUCUUAUGGUUGGGAAAAUCAAUGUGCAUAUAGUGAUUAUCCAUAUUUUUAUGAUUACCAAUCUGAAAAUGUCCAAUAUAAAGCAAAACCAUCUUGGGAGUUAGCUAUAGAAAAGUUAGCUAAUGUGACUUCCGACCGUUUUGAUAGGAUUGAGAAAAGAAUAGAUGAAUUAACUUCUCACUUUGGCAGAAUAAAUGAGCAAUUGAAUGCAUUGUGUGAGGUUAUUUCUUCUAAUAAAUUGCAAAAUGAUCCUAGCAUGAAUGGUAGGAAUGUUGUAUGUGAAAAUGGAUUGCAUUUUGAUGAAAAUGAUGAAUCUCAAUUGUGUUUCAAUGAGCAAAUGUCUAUUUCACAUGAUAAUAUCUUUGGAACUAACUUUGAACCUCAAGAGGUGAGUUUUAAUGACUCAUUUUUCACCCCUCUUGAGGAGUGCAUUGAAAGUGUAGGUUCUAAGGGUAUUGCUGCCCAAGAUACUCUCAUGGCAUUCCCGUUGGUAAGUUCUCAAGUGGUGCAUAUUCAAGGUAAUAUUUAUGAAACACUUGGGAUAGGUAAGUCAAUUCCAUUUCUCCUAUCAUUAGAUCAUGUGACUUUUGCUAUAAAGUCACCAUUUAAUGAUCCACCACGACCAAAAAUGGUGGAUUAUUCGUUAACUAAGCCUCCUUGAAAAAUGAGGUGAAAUAGUCAAGCUAUUGACUUUAAAGAAGCGCUUAUUGGGAGGCAACCCAAUGUUUGUUUAAGUUUAUGUUAUUUUGGGGUGAUUUUAUGUUUAAAGUAUAUGUUUGAGUUAUUUUGUUAUUUUUCAUUUGUAGGUAUUGGAAAUGGAAGCAAAAGUGACCAAAUGAGGUGAAAAAAACGAAAUUUGAUCAAGGAACUCAACCCCUCAAUUUGAGUAAUUGUUGUUUUUGAUUUGUUAGAAGGGGUUAAAAUGCAUAUUUUGAUCAUUUUACAUGUGCAUGCAUUGAGAAUUUUAGCAAACAAAUGAUCUAUGAUGCAUUUUGAGUGAUUGGGGUACAAAUGGUAAUUUUUCAAAAUUGGCUUUCUGCAAAAAUUUCGCAGAAGAAAACGCAUUUGGUCUGAAAACGCGCUUAGAAUCGCGUUUUCCAUAAUCGCGUUUUCAAUUCUGCAUCUAUACUGAAGAAAACGCGCCUUCAAAACGCGACAGGAAGUCGCGUUUUCUACAAAGUCGCGUUUUACAGCCUGUUCAGAAACCAAAAACGCGACUUUAAAUACGCGACUCCAAGUCGCGUUUUUAAGCAUAGCCGCGUUUUCGAUCCUGCAAUAUAUGUGAAGAAACGCGACUUCACAAAACGCGGCUUCGUGGCGCGUUUUGAUGAGUCGCGUUUUCGGAGGAAAAAAAAAAAUUUGCAGAUUCCUUGAUUCUCUUUUUUCUUCUUUCGUCAUAUAUAUUUUCUUGUACCUUGAGUUGCUUAUUGUAUUUUUUUUUAUAGGUACAUCACUAAAACAAGGGCUUGAAGUUACGGAUCGCCGUUUUGAUGUCUUAAGCCUUUGUUAUCACUUUUGUUUCUCAUUUUCCAUUUUUAGGUUUACAUCACUAAUGGUUAUCCAAUGGAACUCAUGAAGCGUUGGAGAUAAACGGACAAUGGAUUUUGAAGCUUCAUAUUCAAUCACAUCAUAGGGGAGUAUUACUUUCUUUAUCUUGAUUUUCCUUUUUACACAUUGAGGACAAUGUGUAUGUUAAGUGUGGGGGGAGAAUUGAGAUUAUAUACAUUGUAUGUGAUUGAAUUAUUAGUUGCAAAUAUUGGACUUCUGUUAAAAUUCAAAAUUUUUCUAAAAUCUUGUCCAAAAUUGCAAACUUGCCCCAAAAAGUUUCAUAUUUUUUCGAUUUUAUCCAAGGGGUAACAAGUUUCAUACCAUUAGUAGUUCAAAUUCCUUCUACAUUUGAGAUAAAUAUAUAUGAUUUGGAAACUUCUUUUCUCAUUUAACUUGGAAAUGACUAUUAUGUGAUUAUAAUUUUGCAUUUGUAGGAAAAUAUAUCUUGUGAAGUGGAGAAAAUUAUGCCUAUAUUUUUUUGCAUAUUUGAUGAAAUUUCUUCUCUUUAUUGGAUUUUAUAAGUUAAGUGAUAAAUAUGGUCAAUAAGUGCAAUACUCUUCUCAUGAUUAUUUUUUUUAGAAAAUUAUUAUUCCCUUUGCUAUUAAAAAAAAAGAAAAAAAAGAAAAAAAUGAUGAAAAAUGAAAAAAAAUGAAGAAAAAGAGAAAAACAAAAAACAAAAGAAAAAAGAAAAUAAAUAAAAAUUCUUCUACUCCAAUGAUUCUUGUACUUAGUAACCGGGAGUCUUCAUCUGCAAAUGUCGACUUUCGCGUAAAACGGUACUUGAAUUAAGAGUAUGCAAAGCAACUUGAGUAUGUGAAGUGUUGAGUAACCGGUGAUCUUCAUCUAAAAAUGUCGAUUCUCGCGUCAAAAGGCAUUCUCACGUCUUAAGUAAUAUUUAGAUAUGUAAUAUUAAUAAAUAUCUUUUUAAACAGAAUUAAAAGAUGAUCAUGAGUUUAGGAAGCAUUAUUAUUGACCAUAUGAGUUACUUACUUGUAAGAUUGGGUAAGGAUGAAAAAUUGAUUUGAAUUUGUUAUAAUGACGGUAUAAUUGGCUCUCAUUUACUUGAUAUUAUGAGUACUUGAACUUAAUUGAAUAAUUGCAUAAUGGUUAUUUACUUUGUUUUGAGGAAAUGAAGUUGAAAUGCUACAUAUGUUUAUUUUCAAAUUUUGGAUCAUUGUUGGUUUGUAUUUUUAUUGCUUGAGGACAAGCAAUGGUUCAAGUGUGGGGGUAUUUGACAAGGGUUUAUUUUACGUAUUUUUAGUGUGUUUUAUUAGUUAAUUUUGGUUUGAUUAUUUAGUUUUAUAACUAAAAUAACUAAGGUUUUGGUAAAAAUCUACAUUUUAUGUUAAAUUGGCU